ACGGCUCAGUAACACGUGGACAACCUACCCUUAGGUCGGGGAUAAACCCGGGAAACUGGGUAUAAUACCCGAUAGUCCUCGGAUGCUGGAAUGCACCGAGGUCUAAAGCUCCGGCGCCUAAGGAUGGGUCUGCGGCCUAUCAGGUAGUAGUGGGUGUAGCGUACCUACUAGCCUACGACGGGUACGGGUUGUGAGAGCAAGAGCCCGGAGAUGGAUUCUGAGACACGAAUCCAGGCCCUACGGGGUGCAGCAGGCGCGAAAACUUUACAAUGCUGGAAACAGCGAUAAGGGGACCUCGAGUGCCAGGUUACAAAUCUGGCUGUCGUGAUGCCUAAAAAGCAUUGCAUAGCAAGGGCCGGGCAAGACCGGUGCCAGCCGCCGCGGUAACACCGGCGGCUCGAGUGGUAACCGCUAUUAUUGGGUCUAAAGGGUCUGUAGCCGGCCGGAUAAGUCUUUUGGGAAAUCUGGCAGCUUAACUGUCAGGCUUUCAGAGGAUACUGUCUGGCUCGAGGCCGGGAGAGGUGAGAGGUACUUCAGGGGUAGGGGUGAAAUCUUGUAAUCCUUGAAGGACCACCAGUGGCGAAGGCGUCUCACCAGAACGGACCUGACGGCAAGGGACGAAAGCUAGGGGCACGAACCGGAUUAGAUACCCGGGUAGUCCUAGCCGUAAACGAUACUCGCUAGGUGUCGGCCACGGUGCGACCGUUGUCGGUGCCGUAGGGAAGCCGUGAAGCGAGCCACCUGGGAAGUACGGCCGCAAGGCUGAAACUUAAAGGAAUUGGCGGGGGAGCAC
rnacentral:rRNA from 1 species